rnacentral:tRNA from 1 species
GCGGUUGUGGUGGAAUGGUAGACACGUACGCUUGAGGGGCGUAUGGCGAAAGUCGUGGGGGUUCAAGUCCCCCCAACCGCACCA